rnacentral:rRNA from 1 species
GACGUAGGGGGCUAGCGUUGUCCGGAUUAUUGGGCGUAAAGAGCGUGUAGGCGGCCAGGUAGGUCUGCUGUGAAAACUCGAGGCUCAACCUCGAGACGUCGGCGGAAACCAUCUGGCUAGAGUCCGGAAGAGGAGAGUGGAAUCCUGGUGUAGCGGUGAAUGCGCAGAUAUCAGGAAGAACACCCGUGGCGAAGGCGCUCUCUGGGACGGUACUGACGCUGAGACGCGAAAGCGUGGGGAGCGAACAGG